rnacentral:lncRNA from 1 species
CAAAACCCUCUCAGCUGCCACACUGGACACAAAUUCGAUAAACCCAUAUCCUUCCGGUAAAGCAGUUUGCUUAUUCCUAAUCACCUUAGCCGAAACCACCUAAAAAACCCAAAGAUUAAAGUUUUGCUGAAUUAUAACUUAAUUCUAUUUACUUUUAAGCUUUACCUAAAAAUCAAAAGAAAAUAAAUUCAUUCAAAUACAGAAGGACUUCUACGGAAAAUAUUAGAGUCCUAUAGCAUGUCCGCACCUCCUUACUAAAUUAAAUUAAACAUGUUUUUUUUUCUAUUUACUUAAAAGACUUUUCAUUUUUAUUAAAAUUAUUCAAAUAUAUAUAUCAAUAACAAAUCAAUUACCUCUCCAGUUUGAGCAAAGAUAUUGAUGAGGUAAUUCUCAUCCAUCCACGGCUGAAGAUCACCGAUCCAAAGAGAUCGAAUCUCACCGGAGCCAGCAGCAGCAGAACCGGCGGAGUACUGCUGCAUCUGAGUGGGCGGAGGAACAGGUUGCGGCGUC